rnacentral:rRNA from 1 species
AGAGUUUGAUCAGUGGCUCAGGACGAACGCUGGCGGCGCGCUUAACACAUGCAAGUCGAGCGAUGAAACUUUAACAGAACCCUUCGGGGUGAAGAUAAAGUGGAUUAGCGGCGGACGGGUGAGUAACACGUGAGUAACCUGCCUUAGACAUUGGGAUAGCCUCGGGAAACCGGGAUUAAUACCAAAUAAAAUCAUAAUGACACAUGUCAUAACGAUCAAAACUCCGGUGGUCUAAGAUGGACUCGCGUCCCAUUAGCUAGUUGGUAGAGUAAAAGCCUACCAAGGCGACGAUGGGUAGCCGGCCUGAGAGGGUGAACGGCCACAUUGGAACUGAGAAACGGUCCAAACUCCUACGGGAGGCAGCAGUGGGGAAUAUUGCACAAUGGAGGGAACUCUGAUGCAGCGACGCCGCGUGAACGAAGAAGGCUUUCGAGUCGUAAAGUUCUUUUAUAUGGGAAGAUAAUGACGGUACCAUAAGAAAAAGCCCCGGCUAACUACGUGCCAGCAGCCGCGGUAAUACGUAGGGGGCUAGCGUUGUCCGGAAUCACUGGGCGUAAAGGGUUCGCAGGCGGAAAUGCAAGUCAGAUGUAAAAGGCAGUAGCUUAACUACUGUAAGCAUUUGAAACUGCAUAUCUUGAGAAGAGUAGAGGUAAGUGGAAUUUUUUAGUGUUAGCGGUGAAAUGCGUAGAUUAUUAAAAGAAUACCGGUGGCGAAGGCGACUUACUGGGGUCAUUCUGACGCUGAAGAACGAAAGCGUGGGUA